rnacentral:rRNA from 1 species
GAUGAACGCUAGCUACAGGCUUAACACAUGCAAGUCGAGGGGCAGCACAGUGUGGCAACACACGGGUGGCGACCGGCGCACGGGUGAGUAACACGUAUCCAACCUGCCGCAUACUCCGGAAUAGCCUUUCGAAAGAAAGAUUAAUGCCGGAUGGCAUCUGUGUCCUGCAUGGGAUAUAGAUUAAAGAUUCAUCGGUAUGCGAUGGGGAUGCGUUCCAUUAGGCAGUUGGCGGGGUAACGGCCCACCAAACCGACGAUGGAUAGGGGUUCUGAGAGGAA